rnacentral:lncRNA from 1 species
UUUACUAGUAUUUUUGUAUUUAUUUUAUAAUGAAUAUUUUACAGUGCUGUUGAAAAAUUUUACUGUAUCGAAGAAAUUUUUUUGGCCCCCCUUACAGAUAUUUGCUGGCUUCGUCCUUAUAAAAGUUAAGCAUGAACAAAAGAAAAGGUGUUUACCAACGGUUGCAGAACUAAAGGUUGUUGCAUCCAUGCCAUCUCCUGUCAACAUUAUAUUUUGCUUGGACUUUCCAAUCUCAACAUUUUCUUUAUUAUAUUUUGCAUUUACUCUGGCGCGGCUGCAACAGCUUCUUUGACAGUCUUGUAAUUGCCACUACCAUCUUUGGCCACCACCACAUUUGCAUUGAUCUCAUUAGGCCUAGACUUUUUGCCUAUAAGUUUUGAAAAAGGAAGCCGACUUUUUUAUCAAGAAAAAUCUAAAUGGCAGCAGAAUUCGGAUUGUGUUUAUUCAUUAUUGCAUUACUAUAACUAUUACUAGUUGGGAAGCCGCGCGUUGCGGCGACCUAUAAAAUUUAUAUUAAUGAUUUGAUAUUAAUAUUUGUAGAAUAAAAUAAAAUUAUGGCGGCCUAUAAGAAUUAUAUUAGUGAUUAGAAUAAAAUAAAUUGUAUAUUAUAAACAUUUCGAUGCAAUUGCAAUAUUAAUAUAUAAAAUUGCAAAAUUGGACUAUAAUGCCUGAGUGAAAACAUGAAAAUAAAUUUCUACAUGUAAUUAACGAGAUAAAGCACAACAAAUCUUAAUUUAAGUUGUGUUUUUUUUUUUUUUGAAAAGUAAUCAUGUUCUCACUAACAUUGUCACACCCUCCAAUUUCUAUGUAUUGGUUGUGCACAGAAACAUCAAUAUACAUGAAAUGACGGUCUAUAAGUACCAUUGUUUGCCUUGUUUGCAACAACCUAUGAUUUUUUAAUACCGUAUAAACAGUCUUCACUUAAAGGGUGCUUGAACCGAGCAAACAGAUAUUGUGAAAGUGUUGCAUGAAUACUAUUUUCAUGUAUACAAAGUAAAUCAUAUAAAAAUUAAGAACAACAAACAUGUCCGAUGAACAAACCAAAUAUUAUAAAAGAAUAAUCAACAAACAUAUAUCACUAGCUAUUAAUUUAUUGACCUUUUCAUCCAUCAAUAUCAUGUCAAGACUAUAUUUUUCUUUCGUGUUUGGAUUUAUCGACUCCCACAUCCGACAAACUCUUACUCCUAUCAGCCAAUUAUCACUAUCGUUAUUCAAAGCAUAUUGCGUGGUGUAACAGUGUAACUCAUUAUUGUAUUAGAUAUAAAAGAUAAAUAGGUACAAAAACAUUAUUUAUGUUAAAUUUUAUGAUGUCUGACCUCAAUUUAUAGGGGUUGAUUUGAGAAAUGACCGGCUUAUCAAAAAUAUUUUCUGUUUUUGAUAUACACCUUUUCCAAAAAUAUGGUAGUCUUGCAAAAGAAGUAAGCCUUUUUUUGUAUCAAAAUAAUUGAAAAGAAUUUUCAAAUUCUGAUUUGAUAUUUAUUAAGAGAGGUAGUUUUUAUUUUUGACAUAUUGCAAAGGUAAUUUUGAAACUUUCUUCUAAUAUAUCUGUACUAAAAAAGGUUUUUAUUUUUUAUACUAAAAAAGGUAGGUAAAUUUGAUUGCUGAUAUUUUUAAAAAGAUAGUUUUGAAACUUGCUUUCAAUAUAUCCGAAACUAAAAAGGUAGUUUUAAUUUUUGAUAUUUUUCAUCCAAAAAUUCCAGAAAAUUAGAAAAAUAGAACGGAGUUAUCUGAGAGGCUCCACCUACACGCCCCAUGCUUCUCCUUUAUAUAAGUACUAGUUGAGAAGCUGCGCGUUGCGGCGGCCUAUAAAAAUUAUAUUAAUGAUUCAAAAUUAAUAUUUGUAGAAUAAAAUAAAUUUUAUAUUAUAAACAUUUUGAUGCAAUACCAAUAUUAAUAUAUAAAAUUACAAAAUUGGACUAAAAUUCAUGAGUGAAAAAAUGAAAAUAAAUUUUUACAUAUAAUUAACGAUCUAAAGCAUGAUGAAUCUUAAUUUUAAUUGUGUUUUUUUAAAAGUAAUCGUGUUUUUCACUAACAUUGUCAUUAAUUUUCAAACACUAUUUCUUAGACAUAUACACCAUGACCUACAUGUAAAAGUUAUACGACUUUUUAACAGAACUGAUUGAAAAAUCAUACGGCUCUUUAAGAGAACUGAUUGAUGACAUUUAGCCAUAUACAUUGAUUGACCAAUAAAACACACAGUAAGCUUGCAAGAACAUAAGUGCGUAAAAGUCAAAAAGAUACUGAGAUGCAACUCCCAAACCAUCCCCAGUUUUAAUAGGGAUAAAUAUUAUGUUCUAGUUAUACGAACAUUAAUUAUGUCAGGACGUUUAAAUUCCAAUCCAUGCAUGUGUAAAUUAGUGACUCCUUCCUCCAAUUUCUUUGGAUUGACUGUCCGCAAAAACAUUAAUUUAAAUUCAUGAGAUAGCAGUCUACUCCCACAUCCGACAAACUCUUACUCUUGUCAAUCAAUCAUCUCUAUCGCCAUUCAAAUAUCAAUAAUAAUAUAACUCAUUAUUGUAUUAGAUGGAGAAGAUAAAUAGGCAAAGAAAAAUUGUUUACAAAGCAUAUUUGCCCAAAACGUGUUACAAUGUCGUUGCAUAACAAUGGCACACCAGCAAGUAGGGUCGCAGUAUUGGGAGAGAGAAGGUUGUGUUUAGAUGAUCCAAAACCCUACGACCUAUAGGCGUAUUUAUAGGUGCAGAGAGACUUGUGUGCUAAUUUUUUCCAUAAUUAAAUAAUCUAAAAUAGAAUCAGAUUAAAAAACUUGCAAGUUACUAUAUUCCAUAAAUAAUCUGAAACAGAAUCAGAUUAAUUUAUGCCAAGAUAUACUUUUUAUUUUUGAUAUUUUUUAUCCAAAAAUUCCAGAAAAUUAGAAAAAUAGGACGUAGCUAUCUGAGAGGCGCCACGUACAUGCCCCUCGCUUCCCCUUUAUAUAAGUAUAUUGAUGACUAGUUGAGAAGCCGCACGUUGCGGCUGCUUAUAAAAAUUAUAUUAAUGAUUCAAAAUUAAUAUUUAUAAAACAGAUUUGCGGCAGCCUAUAAAAAUUAUAUCAAUGAUUCAAAAUUAAUAUUUGUAGAUUGAAAUAAAUUUUAUAUUAUAAACAUCUCGAUGCAAUACCAAUAUUAAUAUAUAAAAUUUCAGAAUUGGACUAUAAUUCAUGAGUGAAAAAAUGAAAAUAAGUUAUACAUGUAAUUAACGAUUAAAAGUAACUUUUCAAUAACUUACUAAUCUGUCACGAUUCUUAUAUCUCUAUUUUUCCAACCGCCACAGAUUAUUUUGAAGCCACCCACGUAUAUCAAGCAGGCAACGACAUAUAUAUACAUAGAGAUAUAAAUAUUAUUAUAUAAAUCAUGGAGUUUAGGAUCUUGUAAGUGUGUGUAGAUAAUAUUUUGUAUGAGUAAAAAAUACCCAAGAGUAUAUCCUUGUCCUUAAUAUACGUACAUUAAUCAUGUCAGGAUGUAUGAACUUAAAUUUAUGCAGAGGUAUAUUAGUGACUCCUUUCGCCAAUUUCUUUGGAUUGGUUGUCCGCAGAAAUAUCAAUCUAAAUCCAUGAGAUAGCGGUCUAUAACUACUAUCAAACAAGUACCUUGAAAUAUAAGUUAGUAAAAAUAUUAUUUAUAAAGUUUUACACAUUAUUUUUGAAUGUUACCAAAACCAAGUAAAAGGUUAUGACUUCUAAUAUUUACGAUAAUAUAUUUAAAUUUUAUCAAAUUUAUUUAUUAUUUAUUUUUAAUUAAAACAAAGAAAAUAACUAUAUAAUAAAAUAUAAAUAAUAAAUAAACUUGAUAAAAUAUAAAUAUAUUAUUUUAAAUACUAGAAGUCAUAACCUUUAAGUUGGUUGUGGUAACAUUUAAAAAUAAUGUGUAAAACUUUAUAAAUAAUAUUUUUACUGCUUGAACUUAUAUUUCAAUGUACCCAUUUGAUAUUUAUGGUCAAUUCAGUGAUCAUCUUGAUACCGUUUUGAGUUCAGUAUCAUCUUGAUACCGUUUUGAGUUCAGUGACCAACUUGAUACAUUAAGCCCACUUCAGUGACCAACUUGAUAAUCAACCUUUUUUUUAAUAUUGUAUAAACAGCCUUCACUUAAAAGGUUUUUGAACCGACCAAACCUAUAUUGUCGAAGUGUUGCAUGAAUAAUAUUUACCAGUAUACAAAGUAAACCAUAUAAAAAUUAACAACAAACAUGUUCGAUGAACAAAACAAAUAUUAUAAAAGAAUAACCAACAAACAUAUAUCACCAAAAGUUAAUUUAUUGACUUUUUAAUCAAUCAAUAUUAUGUUAAGACUAUAUUCUUCUCCCGUAUUUGGAUUUUGUCGACUCUCGCAUUCGACAAACUCUUACUCUUAUCAGUCAAUCAUCUCUAUCGUCCUUCAAAGCAUCUAGCUGACAAGGCUGUCGCGUGCCUAUCAAAUAAUAAAAUAUCUAACUGAACCUCCUAACUAUGUAGUAGGGUAAGUCAGAGUCGAUGCCACAGAGACAAACGUAUCAAACACUAGUUAUUCCCGAUUCAAUCCAACUAACAAGUAACACAAUAAAAAUUGGGAGAUUAUUAAACUAAUAUUAUCCUAAUACAAAUAAAAUCUAGAAUACAAUCAAAUAAAAAUAACUAGAAUCAAGUAUCAUCACUAGCAUGAAUUAAUGCAAUUAUGAUUUUCUCCCCCAAUUAAUCAGAUAAUUUACUCAAGAGGAAAGAUGCGCCCUAUAAAAUACCAUUAACCUCUUUCGAGUAUUAAUGGCUUCUCUAAAAUACAAUCAAACCUAUUUUCAUGGUAUCAUUAUUGGAUAAAUCACAACCAUCUAAAUCCAACUUCCGAUGGUAGAUAGAUAUCGGUUCAAACAAUAUACAUAAUCACGUCUGACCUGUUAUUGUUAAUCAGCACAACUCAAUAAGUAAGAGCAAAUAACCUCAUCAACUAGAGAUCAUCAAAAAUCAUGCAUCAACCACAACUAGAGUUCAACUCAAUUCUAGAAUACAAUCUACUCUAGCAUAAUAAAUAUAAAAGAAAAUAAAGAUGGGUUAUACAAUGAAUUCUUCAAUCCCGAAGUCUUGAAGAAGAAGAAGAAGAGACAAAGUGUUUUAAUCUAACCUCAUUAUACAAUACCAUCCUCCUCUUCUAAUGUCUAUCUUUAUAAAUAUAUAUGAUUUUAAUGCUUACAAGGAAAUACAAAACAGUUUCCCAAACAAAAUUGGAAUCUUCAAGGAGAAUUCGCAGCUCUGUUUUCUGCCCUGUUUCUGGGCUUUUCCAGUUGGAUUUUUGAUAUUGGACCAUCUCUGAAUAAAACAAAAAUUCUCUUAGCUUCGUGUGGGCUGUAAGAUCACCCAAUUCUGACUUCUAUAACUCAAGAUAUGGCCCAAACAGUGAGUCAAGUGCAAGCAAUCCAACAAAUCCGAAUUUCCUUCAAAUUAAUCACCAAAUUAAGCUUUUUAUUCCAAUUUCUUCCAAGUUUAGGAACUCCUUACCUCCUGCAAUAAAACAUUAAAAUCUAUUAAAUAAAUAUCCAAUUCAAUGCAAAAUACAAUUAAUAUGAGAAUAAAAUCAUCUAGAAUAUAUGUAAAUAUAUACCCUAUCACUAGCAUAGUGCGAUUCAUUAUUGAAUUAGAUGGAAAACAUAAAUAGGCACGAAAAAUUGUUAAUGUUAGAUUUUAUGAUGUUUUUGUUAUAAAAAUAUUUUUGUUUUGGAAGAAAAGUAAGUUUUUUUUUGUAUCAAAAUAAUUGAAAAAAAAUUCAAAUUCUGUUUUGAUAUUUAUUAAGUUAGGUAGUGUUUAUUUUUGAUAUAUUGAAAAAGAUAGUUUUGAAACUUUCUUCUGAUAUAUUGGGAAUUACAAAAGGUAAUUUUUAUUUUUGAUAUUUUUAAAAUUAAAACAUAAUUUGAGACUUCUUCCUAUUUGACACUGAAAAAGAUAAGUAGAUUUUAUUUUUGAUAUUUGAAAAAAGGUAGUUACAUGUGGGUUGUUGUAAAGUGUACAUGCAACGGUAAGGUGUAAAGUGAACGAAUUUAAUUUAUAAAUAAUAAAUUAAAAUUUGAAAUUAUGAUUUGUUUGUAAGUCAGAACUGUUAUAAAAAUAUAUAACUUUUAUAUGAUGUUGGCAUAAUUUAAAAUUUUAUCUUAAAUUUUAGUCAAAUCUAAUCCAAAAUAUUAGUUUUGCAUGAUUUAGCAAUUAUGAGUAACUUAAUCUAACAUAUUUGUCUUUAAUAAUAAAAAUAUUUAAUAGCACGAUGAUGCAUAUUUGUAUAUUAUUUUUUGUCUUUCUUUUUUAAUAUAUAUACUUGAAUAUAAAUAUUUAUUUUAAAAAUAUUUUUAUGUUAAAUUAUUAAUCUUUAUAUAAAUAUAUUCGUUAAUAAUUUGAAUAAGAUGCAUGCAAUUAGAAGGCAUAAUUUGUCUUGGAUUAGGAAAACGUGUUAAAAAUAUGGGUUUUACUUUUCACACUUGUUUUUGUCAAAAAAAAUAAAAAAGCCUUGUCACACGUGUGGAUCAUUCCAUAGGGCAUAAGAAAGUGCAGUUUGUGCAUGAUCUAAAGAUGUUCAAGUUUAAUCGUGGAAUAAAGUGGAACAUUGAAAUAUGUCUUAAGGAGGCAGGUGUGUUUAAAUCUUGGAAAGACAAUGUUCCCGAGGGUAUAUAUAAGAAGAUUUUGAACUAUCAUCAGUCAACAACCUCAAAAGCUGAAGUAGAAGUUCAAGAUAAAGCUAAAGCUGGAGACAGUUAUGAAGCCAAAGUUGAAGAUAAAGAUGGAGAUGGUUCUGCAUUUGUAGAAGUUCAAAGUUUCUUAUAUUAAACCACUUACUUUCUGCAAUAUAAUUCUGCACACACCUUAUAUUACAAAUUCUUGCAUAUUAUUUACAAGAUGCUGAGUAGGAUCUACUAAUUCACAUUAAAUUCUAUUAGUACUAGCUGAAUCUUCAUUUCUGAUAAUGUUCUAGGUCCUCUAUUUCUUUUUAGGUGGCAUGCUCAUGAGAUUAUAAGAUACUAGUAUGUUGCCAAUUCGCAUUGGACUGAAUUUUAAAGUAUCUGAAAAUUAAUAGAUUUAAUUCAAGUUAUAUUUUAAUUAUAAAAAUAAUAUUGUUAGCAACCGAGUGUGAAAAUAAAUUUGCCCAAUCCAUUAUGCUAUACUAAUACGCACUACCAUACUUAUUAUAUGAUUAUAAAAGAACAACAUAAAAAUAUGUAAGGUCAAUAAACAAAUAUAACAAAACUCUAAUUUUGUCAGUUAAAGCGGUAACGGUAAAACGAAUAUUUUUUUAACUAUGAAUUUGGUGAAAAUUAGUAAAAUUAGUUCUAAUUUUGUCAGUUGCAAUGGUAAUACUAGAACGAAUAUAUUUAAUUGUGAAUUUGGUGAAGACUAGACUACGUAAGUAAUAUGUUAAAAAUAAUAAUUUUAUUCAUGUGUUUCAUUUUAGACCUCUAACAAUUGCUAAUGUCAUUAAUUUAAUAUACAUAGAGGCUCCAAACAAUUUAGAAUUGAGAGGUUGUAAGCUAAGUGUGAAAAAACGGUUGAAUGAGCGCGCAACCAAUCUGGUUUACACAGGUAAAUUGCUUGUUUUUAAAUUGUCUAUCUUUAUUAUUUACGUCAAUGUUUAAUUUAAGUUCCAUUAUUUUCUUUAUUUGAUGAUGUUCAACAUCACGGUGUUAAUGUCAAAGGACACUUGAUGUACCAGACCAUCAGACACAAUAUUUACAAUGGUAAGAUUCAUCGUCCCAACUUGAUCCUGGAAGUUGCUUCCACCUCAGCUAUAAUUGUAGAUUCUCUAAAAUUUGAUGAUAAAGUUUGAACUUGAAAGUUCGUUUCUUUCUUCUUUAGUAGUUUCUCCCUUCAUUCUUUAUGAUGGACUUCUGAUUAUUAAGAUUGUUGUUAGCUUGUUGUUAUAAAUUGUAAUUAGAUGUUGAAACAUGAGUUUGUUAUUGAAUUGGUCAUUUUGUCAGUUGCAACGGUAAAGAUAGAAUGAAUAUAUUUUUUAUUAUGAAUUUAGUGAAGACUAAUGAAAUUAGCCCUAAUUUUGGCAGUUUUAACGAUAACGGCAGUACGAAUUAGUUUGACUUUGAAUUUGGUGAAUGCUAGACUACGUAAUCAUUUAGUAGGUUGAACUCGGUAUCACAUAGAAGGUUGAAUGUUGGCUGGUUCUAGUAAUCAUAUUGGGUGCUAUGCACAUAUUGUUCUCCUACAUUACUUUUGAGUGCAGAAGACAUUUGGCUAUGUUUCUCCUACCUGUUUUCGAGGAUAACAUUGUGGAGCCCCAUGAAAAAAAUAGAGAUUAGAAUUGUGGGAGCAAUCUCUUGAAUAUAUUAUCGAGGCGGGAACAGAUACACUCCAAGCUGGUUUAUCACUGAAGUUCAAAGAUGAGUAAGCUAUUGGGUCUGGGUUUAGAAAUGAAUGGUUUGAUUUAGUUUGCAAAAAGCCCUUUGUUUCUCGACUUGUUUCGAGCUUGUCUGGACGAUCGUAGAAGAAUCUUUCCGAAGUCAAGUAUCUUUUGUCAACACUUUUGAUUUACAAUUUUUAUGUACAACAAAGUCACUCUAUUACAUAUAGAUUUUAAAAUAACUUAGCAAAUAGCCAGUUGUCUUUCAUAAUUACCUUGUAUAUACUGUUAAAAUUGCUAAAAUUAGGACAUUAAUUAGGAAGGAACCAGACUAACUGAAGAAAGAAUAAAUAAAAUGAAACUAAUAUCACUGAAAGAGAAUGGUGUUUAUGCUCGAUUAGUGCGCCUUCCAACCUGGAGAGCAAGCUCUGUGUCUAUCUUAAGGGAGAUGUCGAGAGCAUUUACAGAAUGUGUCAGUGCACCACUGCAAAUAAAACAAUUGAACUUUGUUAAGCAGCUUAUAACAUAAUUUUCUAUUAUUAAUAUAUUAGUACAAGUAAUAGUGUAAACAUAAUAAGUAAAACCAUAUAUUGUACCUCCAAACUAAAAUAGAAGGGUAUUCAGGGUAUUACACUAUUUUAGGCUAGUGGGAGAAGAUUUUUUUAUUGGGGAACAAAAACCAGAACUUUGAUGACAGGGGUGGACUCCUUGCUGGACUGAAGCCUUAAGUUUUACAAACUUUACCACUAAGACUAGAAUGGAUAUAGAUUCAGCCCAGGUAAGAAUUAUGAAACCCUGGUAUAUAUGGUCCAUUCAAUUGUUGGUUGGUCCUGAAGAAGUAUAAGUAAUAAGAUAAUGACCAUGCAUACAAGGCAGACCCAUGACUUCCAACAUAACUGGGCUAAAAUUGUUUUUACACAAUACAAAUUAUUCACACUCACGCUAUACCAAUUCUACACAAGACUACAAAUAAUUCACAUAGGAGCACAUGAUAUAGAUUUAUUUAACCACAUUUUGGUCGGGGACGGACCCAGGACGUCCAACUUACCUUAUCAUAAACAUUUAUACACAAGACUUCAAAUAAUUCACAGUAUAUUAGAGGGAGCACAUAAUAUAACAAAUGUUAAUCGACAUAUAUACUUUUUUUUUUUUUUUGAAUAAUCGACAUAUAUACUUAAUACUAUCUAUACUAUAAUAAUUUGAAACAGUAAAGUUUGGUCACAAAUUUUUUGUCAUUACUAAAUUACCUUUUUUUUCUAUCUUUUCCAAAAAAACAAAUAUAAACAGUUAUAUAAACAAUGAGAAAGAGACCAACAUGUAUGUUCUAAUUAUAAUGUGUUCCAUACUGUAAAAUAACAAGCGAAUAUUGAGAUAAUUUGUAGUAGUAAAGUUUGGUCACAUAUUUUUUGUCUUUACUAAAUUACCAUUUUCUCUGUCUUUCUGAGAAAGAAAAUAUAAACAAUUAUUAUAUUAAUAAUGAGAUCAACAUGUCUCUUUAAUUAUAACGUGUUCUACUCAAAAAUAAACACGAACCAUCAUGUAACCCUUGACUCUAAAUUGUACUACUUCAAGGCAAAUACGAACCAUCAUGCAACUCUUUUUUUAAAAGACAAACAUAAAACCAAUACAAGAUAAAUAAUAUCUUUUUACUUACAAGGGUCCGGGUCCCUAACAAUCAUUUGUUAGGGGCUAUUUAAACAACAAUAACCUUCACAGUCAUUGGAUCAACUAAUUGACGAUCAGGAUUUUAAUUUUUUUACAUCUUUCCGCACCUUUUUUCCGCGAAUAGAUAUCAUUCCGCGCUACUUUACGCGGAUCAAGAAAUUACAUUUUUAGCCCUUAAAAUCUUCCGUGCUAAACAAUCACGGAUAGAAUUUGCAGCUGCAAACCAUUGGCGUCCCCCUUGUCUGUUGCCGAGAGAUGUAAUUUUUACAAAAUGGACAAGAGAGAGGUAAGGAAUGUAUGUAGAUAUGUGCGUGUGUAUAUAAAGGGUAAUGAAAAGAGAGAGAAGAGACUAGACAAAGGAAAAGUUUUCUUAAAAUUUGUGCGAAACAAUAAAUUUGAGCUGCUUGGAUAUGUAUACCGACAUCUUCACUUUUGUUUUCAUAACCAAAAUUUUUCAAAAUUUGAUUUUGAUAAUAUAUGUUAUUUUAAUCUCUGGUUUCAACCUAAUUGCUGGAUUUUUGGUCAUUCUUUGAAUUUGCAAAACUAAAAUAAUUAAUUUAUGUAAACUAAAUGUACUUACAAUUAUGUAAGUCUAAAUGUAAAGACAACCCUAUCUGUUACAUAGGGAUUUAAUAGAAAAUCUAAUAUGGACUUGUGUUUUUUUAUGAACAUGAAAACUUGAAAAAGAACAAGAAAAGUAGGAUGAUUUAUUUCACUAAUUACAGUAAUAAUAAAAUUUAAUAUUUUCAUUGUUCUUGCAGUUGCAAGUUGUAAAGCUUUUCCGUGAUACUGUAGCAGAUAUUGCUCUGUGUUUUUUAUUCAAAAUUAAUAUUUGUAGAUUGAAAUAAAUUUUAUAUUAAAAACAUCUCGAUGCAAUACAAAUAUUAAUAUAUAAAAUUGCAGAAUUGGACUAUAAUUCAUGAGUGAAAAAAUGAAAAUAAGUUUAUACAUGUAAUUAACGAUUAAAAGUAAUUUUUCAAUAACUUACUAAUCUUUCACGAUUCUUAGAUCUCUAUUUUUCCAACCGCCACAUAUUAUUUUGAAGCCACCCACGUAUAUCAAGUAGGCAACGACAUAUAUAUAUACAUAGAGAUAAAAAUUUUAUUAUAUAAAUCAUGGAGUUUAGGAUAAUUGUAAGUGUGUGCAGAUAAUAUUUUGUAUGGGUAAAAAAAUACCCAAGAGUAUAUCCUUGUCCUUAAUAUACGUACAUUAAUCAUGUCGGGACGUAUGAACUUAAAUCCAUGCAGAGGUAUAUUAGUGACUCCUUUCGCCAAUUUCUUUGGAUUGGUUGUCCGCAAAAAUAUCAAUCUAAAUCCAUGAGAUAGCGGUCUAUAACUACCUUUGCUUGCAACAACCUUUAUUUUUUAAUGGGUUAAUUAUCUAGUUGGUCACUAAAGUGGGCUUAAUGUAUCAAAUUGGUCACUGAAGUCAAAACGGUAACAAGAUGGUCACUGAAGUGGCCAUAAAUAUCAAAUAGGUACCUUAAAAUAUAAGUUCAAGCAGUAAAAAUAUUAUUUAUAAAGUUUUACACAUUAUUUUUGAAUGUUACCAAAACCAAGUAAAAGGUUAUGACUUCUAAUAUUUACGAUAAUAUAUUUAAAUUUUAUCAAAUUUAUUUAUUAUUUAUUUUUAAUUAAAACAAAGAAAAUAACUAUAUAAUAAAAUAUAAAUAAUAAAUAAACUUGAUAAAAUAUAAAUAUAUUAUUUUAAAUACUAGAAGUCAUAACCUUUUAGUUGGUGGUGGUAACAUUUAAAAAUAAUGUGUAAAACUUUAUAAAUAAUAUUUUUACUACUUGAACUCAUAUUUCAAGGUACUUGUUUGAUAUUUAUGGUGACUUUAGUAACCAUUUUGAUACCGUUUUGAAUUCAGUGACCAACUUGAUACAUUAAGCCCACUUCAGUGACCAACUUGAUAAUCAACCCUAUUUUUAAUAUUGUAUAAACAACCCUCACUUAAAAGGUUUUUGAACCGACCAAACCUAUACUGUCGAAGUGUUGCAUGAAUAAUAUUUUCCAGUAUACAAAGUAAACCAUAUAAAAAUUAUCAACAAAAAUGUUCGAUGAACAAAACAAAUAUUAUAAAAGAAUAACCAACAAACUUAUAUCACCAAAAGUUAAUUUAUUGACUUUUUAAUCAAUCAAUAUUAUGUUAAGACUAUAUUCUUCUCCCGUAUUUGGAUUUUGUCGACUCUCGCAUUCGACAAACUCUUACUCUUAUCAGUCAAUCAUCUCUAUCGUCCUUCAAAGCAUCUAGCAUAGUGCGAUUCAUUAUUGAAUUAGAUGGAAAAGAUAAAUAGGCACGAAAAAUUGUUAAUGUUAGAUUUUAUGAUGUUUGACCUCAAUUUAUAGGGGUUGAUUUGAGAAAAGACCGGCUCAUCAAAAAUAUUUUCUGUUUUUGUUAUACAUCUUUUCCAAAAAUAUGGUCAUAGUUUUGGAAGAAAAGUAAGUCUUUUUCGGUAUCAAAAUAAUUGAAAAGAAAUUUCAAAUUCUGUUUUGAUAUUUAUUAAGUUAGGUGGUGUUUAUUUUUGAUAUAUUGAAAAAGAUACUCCCUCCGUUUCAUAAUACAUGUCCACUGUUGAACAAAUCCCACAUAUUAAGAAAAACUAACUUUUGUAAAAAAAACCUUCAUUUAUUAUUGUAUUUAUUGCAUUGACUAAGUAUAAUAUGUGGGAUAUAUUUGAUCUAGGUAAUAUAAUUUAGUAGGAUGUGGUAUAAACUUCAUCUAGGAAAUACAACUAUUGACUACAUUGCAUUGAAAGUUGAAAUGUGACAACUAAUUUGAAACAAUUUUUAGUUAAGUGGACAUGUAAUAUGAAACAGAGGGAGUAGUUUUGAAACUUUCUUCUGAUAUAUUGAGAAUUACAAAAGGUAAUUUUUAUUUUUGAUAUUUUUAAAAUUAAAACAUAAUUUGAGACUUAUCUAAUUUGAUACUGAAAAAGAUAAGUAGAUUUUAUUUUUGAUACUUGAAAAAAGGUAGUUCUGAAAUUUGCUUCCAAUAUAUCCGAAACUAAAAAUAGUAGUUUUCAAUUUUGAUAUUUUUCAUCCAAAAAUUCCAGAUUUUGAAAAUGGCAGUUCUGAAACUUGCUUUCAAUAUAUCCGAAAAUAAAAAUGUAGUAUUUAUUUUUGAUAUGUUUCAUCGAAAAAUUUCAAAAAUUUGAAAAUUAGAACGGAGUUACGUGAGAGGCGCCACCUACACGCCCCUCGCUUCUCCUUUAUAUAAGUAUAUUGAUAUUGAUGAUUGAUUUAUAUAUGUGUACGUAUUUUUUCUUCUAACAGUGCCUCCUUAGUUCACUAGUUUUUUUUUGACUUAAUUACCGAAAAAUCUAUUAAACUAUUGUGAUUUUUUCAUUUUAACCAUAUAUCUAAUUUUGUUUCAGAAAAAUGUAACUAACUAAUAGAAAAUGUAUUUGAGAGAACCCAAUUUGAAAAUAUUUCUAACCAUGGUUAAAUGGAUGUCCUACGCAACAUUAUUAAAAUAUCAUUUUUUUAUAAUUUUAAUUUAAAUAUUUACAUAAUCUAUUAUACACACACCAAACAAUCAGUUUUUUUUUAAGUAGGAAACCGUAGCCGCACCACCGCAUUUAAGCGACAGGGCUUUGGUCCAGGAAGCAUUAUCACAAAAUUCUGCUCCCUUCGGAAGGUUCAGUUGAACCUGUGAUCAAAAAGAUACAAGUCCCCUCUUUAACUAACUGAACCAACCCUUUAACUAACUGAACAAACCCGUGCGGGCAAUUUUUAUUUGAAUUGUCAGGGUUCGUCAAAAUAUAAUUUUAAAUUAUUAUCGGAUAAAUAAUUAAUUUAAUUUAGUUUACAUUUUAUUUUGAUUAGUAAGAAUUUAAUCUUAUUUUAAAAAAUACACACACACGCAUUAAUAUUGUUGAAGAAUUAUAUUUAUUAUCGAAAAUUAUAGCAUUUAAAUUGUUUGUUUUUUCAUAUGAAUAUUAGUUCAAUAAAGUUUUAUUGUCCAAACAAAUUAUUAACAAAAUGCAUAAAGAAUAAUUAUAAUAUUUAUUAAAAAUCAUCUAAAAACCACGCAGAAAUCUCAAAAUACCAAUAUAUAUUAUAUGUGCUUGUGUAGGUUGUAUCCGAACAAAACACAAUUAUCAUAUCCAUGCUGCAGUAAUAUAUCGACAAAAUUAGUAACAAUGAUUAAAAGAGCGAUCAAGAGUUCAAAUAAAUUUAUAAAUUCGAUACAAAUAUCAUAAAUCACAUGAAAAAUUAUCGAUACAAUUAUACACAUGUAGCCAGUAGGCUAUAGGUGUUUCAUAAAAAUCAUGCUAACAUUUUCCUCUGCCUUCGAACAUAAAUUAUGAUUCGCUCUAUAUUUGUGCAAAAUAUGAAUUAGGAUUUUGACCUUUUAACUCAAUAGUAAAAAAUUAAUAAAAUUCAUAUACUAAUUAAUAUAUAACUUGACAAUAUAUGUGGCAUAGAUCUCAAUCAAUAUACUUAUAUAAAGGAGAAGCAAGGGGCGUGUAGGUGGCGCCUCUCACAUCGCUCCGUUCUCUUUUUUUUUAAUUUUCUGGAAUUUUUGGAUGAAAAAUAUCAAAAAUUAGAACUACCUUUUUUAGUUUCGGGUAUAUUAGAAGCAAGUUUCAAAAUCUGAUUUUGUUUCAGAUUAUUUAUGGAAUAUAGUAACUUGAAAGUGUUAAUCUGAUUUUGUUUCAGAUUAUUUAUGGAAUAUAGUAGCUUGAAAGUUUUAAUCUGAUUUUUUUUCAGAUUAUUUAAUUAUGGGAAUAGAUCAUCUAAAUAUAACCUCCUCUCUCUCAAUAUCACAACCCUACCUCUCUCUGGUGAAAGUUCUUUUGCUCGGUUUCUAACUCGGUGGUGCCGUUCUUCUGCAACGAUAAGUGAAGGUUGUUUAUUAAAAAAAAAUAAAGGUUGUUGUAGUAAAGGUUGUUAUAAGUAAAGGUAGUUAUAGACCGCUAUGUUCGAGUCGACAAAUCCAAACACGGGAAAAGAAUAUAGUCCUGACAUGAUAUUGAUGGAUGAUAUCAAUAAAUUAACUGUUAGUGAUGUGCGUUAGUUGGUUAUUAUUUUAUAAUAUUUGUUUUGUUUUUCGGACAUGUUUGUUGUUAAUUUUUAUAUGAUUUACUUUGUAUACAGGAAAAAAAUUAUUCAUGUAUUAUAUGUUUGCCCCGUUCAAGCAACUUUUAAGUGAAGACUGUUUAUACAAGCAAGGGUAGUUAUAGACCGCUAUCUCACGGAUUUAGAUGUUUUUGUGCACAAUUAAUCCAAAAAAAUUGGAGUAAGGUGAGAAUGUAAGAACAUAAUUACUUUUCAAAAAAAAAACACAAAUAAAAUUAAGAUUCGUCGUGCUUUAAAUUGUUAAUUAUGUGUAUAAUUUUUUUUUUAUUUUUUCUCCAUGAAUUAUAGUCCAAUUUGCAAUUUUAUAUAUUAGUAUUGGUAUUAUAUCAAGAUUUUUAUAAUAUAAAAUUUAUUUUAUCUUACAAAUAUUAAUUUUAAAACAUUAAUAUACUUUUUAUAGACAGCCACAAAAUUAUUUUAUACUACAAAUAUUAAUAUUAAAUCAUUAAUAUAAUUUUUAUAGGUCGCCGCAACGCACGAUUUCUCAACUAGUUUUAACUUAACCAUGGUUAUGGAUCAGUGAUAUUGGGUUUUCUAAAUAUAAUUUUUUAAAGUUACUUGCAUUAUCCCGUAAUAAAUAUACUAUUAUGAACUUAUGGUUAAAUUGAAAAAAACAUGAUAGUUGUAUAGUUUUUUUUGGUAAUUGAGUCUUUUUUUUUGUUUGUUCACUAUUCUUAAUUAAUUAGAUCACAAAUUAAUUAAGGAUGUUAUUGAUUCUACUCGAGAUCUCCUGCACAAACAAGGAAAGACAAAUUAUAUCGAGACGUUUGGGCUAAAAAGCUUUCAAAACAUCCUCACUUACAAUCCUAAGUUGUUUAGAGGCCUCGGUUUUCUUGCUUGUCACAUAGCUCAUCUGUGUCGACAUGGGCACGGCGCCUUAAUUUUCCCUUAAUUUCGCUUAAUUAAUGAUGUUAAAAAAAAUAACUUCAGAAAAUAACAAUUAUAAAUACAAACUCAGCACUGUGAUUCAUAAGAUAUUAAAAUAAUUAAUAUUAACAAGGAAAACUUACUCUUGUAUCUUCUCACAAUACAAGAUUACAUGGAAGAAUUUACAAAAUUUAAAUAUACAGGACUCCUCAAACUUUACAUUUCAUCCUUAUGCAAGGCCUUUACUAUCUUAGCUGGAGGCUGUGAUGCUGCUGGAGUAGUUGAAGGCUGUGAUGCAUCAGGACCUGAAGGGUGAGGCCCUGUUGGAUCUGAAGGGUGAGGCGUCGUCGAAGGCUGUGGAUCUGAAGGGUGAGGCGUCGUUGAAGGCUGUGGAUCUGUAGGGUGAGGCGUCGUACAAGGCUGUGGAUCUGAAGGGUGAGGCGUCGUCGAAGGCUGUGGAUCUGAAGGCUGUGGACCUAUAUGGGAAGGCGGCGAGGGACUUGGAACACCAUAUAACGUGCCACCAGUUUCCGGUCCUCUUUGAAAACCAGUCAUCUAAAAUUUUAACCCGAACACAACACAGAUUCCAUGUUAAUAUUCAAAAAUAAAAAUAAAAUGGCAUCUGAAAAUAAUUUACUCACCCAACUUGGUGCAAAAUUAGACGGACCACCACCGCCAGCACCUUCAUGAGCUUUACACCCCAAGAUUGGGAAAAAUAAUAACCACAUGAUGCCUAAUGUCGCAGCCGUAAACUCCAUCUUUAAAAAUUUGUUCUUAAUUUUAUUAUGAGAAUGUAAUCACAUUAUGAUGAUAAUGUCAAGGUGGGAUUUGUAAGACCAAAAUUUCGAUAUGGUUGAAUGGUGGAUAUCGAGAGGACUGAGGAUAUAUUGCAGAAUAUGAAUUGAGGUGUGUGAAAUAGUUAAGACCAAGUCAGGUGAAAUACCAACCUCUUAUGUAACCGGAUUAUUUGGAGGGGCAAACUUCCAACUGUCAUGAAAUGAUUUUCUUGUUUGUUUUUCAUCUGACAAUUUCAAAAUUAUUAUUUCGAUUUAUUAGUUCAGACAAGGGACAAGCUACAAACCAAACAAACCAAACAUUACCUAGCUAGAUUACGAAAAUUAGACUAAAUGCAAAUCUGAAUCCUAAUUUAGAGGCCUUCAGUGUAGGUUACUCCAGUGGACUUCAACCAAGAUCCUCCUUGGAUCAACUGCGCCACGGUAAAUUUAGAUGCUUCGGUUGAACUGGUGAUGACAUGGUAUCCAGGCCAUUUCACACGACCUGCGGUUCCAGCACCAGGUCCUUGGUUCAGGUACUCACCAUAGUACAAUGUUUUUAAUGCAAAAUCUUUAUCCCAUUCAGCCCAACCUGCAGGAUCAAUGUGAUCACCAAUUUUUGACUGCAUGAAAACAGUUGUGGAGAACUCUUUCCAUGGCCGGCCCAAGUAUGUUUUUAUGGAUCCUCUCACAGGGUACAGGUCCGUGCUUGCAUAAACGUCGCAGUUCUGGAUUGAUGUUCCUGUGUUCUGGUUUAUGUCAGGCCGCCGUUGGGCAGUUAGCAUGUUCUUUUGAUUAGCCAUGGGCUUACGAGCCACGAUUUUUGAAUUCUGAAAGACAACGGCAGCAUUACCAAAGAUGAAAUCCACUGUGCCAGUUAUAUAGCAGUCUCUGUAGCACUGGCGUUGGUUGUGAGUGUAGAGGGUGUCUUGGUAUGCAUCAAUUCGACAACGGUUGAUUACAGAUUGAUCUGCUCCGACUCGCAGGGCGACAGCUUGGUGCUUUUCAGGCCCAGCCGUGUUCUGGAGCCCGAUAUCUUGUGCCAUGAAUCCAAAUCCAACAGCAGCUGCAAUGCCAAAUAUAACCAACAGUCAAAAACUUUGAAAUGUGAUAUAUUCCAAGUGGAUGUGCGAGAAAACAUCUUGUUUAAUCAAAUUUUUAUGUCAAUGUAUGAGUAGAUCUACAACAGGGGAUGUUAAUAAGGUCCUAGAACGCUUAUAAAUUAUUAGUUGUUUUUUUUGAAAUUCGCUUGCUCCCACAAAUUGAAAAGAAUUUUAGAUCUGUCCCUGCAAUGGGGCAGACUAAAUGAAAAACAAGCAUGAACGGAAGGAAAAAUGUUUACCAACGGUUGCAGAACUAAAGGUUGUUGCUCCGUCUAUCACAUUUAAGCUACCAGUGAUAAUAGUUGCAUCCAUGCCAUCUCCUGUCAACAUUAUAUUUUGCUUGGACUUUCCAAUCUCGAAAUUUUCUUUG